GACAGAGGGUGCAAACGUUUGUUCGGAAUUACUGGGCGUAAAGCGAGUGUAGGCGGUUUGGAAAGUCGGAUGUGAAAGCCCCGGGCUCAACCCGGGAAGUGCACUCGAUACUCCCAGCUAGAGUAUCGGAGAGGUUGGCGGAAUUCUCGGUGUAGAGGUGAAAAUUCGUAGAUAUCGAGAGGAACACCGGCGGCGAAGGCGGCCAACUGGACGAAUACUGACGCUGAGACUCGAAAGCGUGGGGAGCAAACAGG
rnacentral:rRNA from 1 species